rnacentral:sRNA from 1 species
AUUUCAAAUGUUGCGCGCCACUUUUUCAGAUUUACACAUUAUAUAUAU